UGAUAGUGGAAACUGGCGCUAGUCCCCC
rnacentral:piRNA from 1 species